CCUACGGGAGGCAGCAGUAGGGAAUAUUGCUCAAUGGGGGAAACCCUGAAGCAGCAACGCCGCGUGGAGGAUGAAGGUUUUCGGAUUGUAAACCCCUUUUGUUAGAGAAGAUAAUGACGGUAUCUAACGAAUAAGCACCGGCUAACUCCGUGCCAGCAGCCGUGGUAAUACGGAGGGUGCAAGCGUUACUCGGAAUCACUGGGCGUAAAGAGCGCGUAGGCGGGAUAGAAAGUCAGAUGUGAAAUCCUAGGGCUUAACCAUAGAACUGCAUUUGAUACUGUUGUUCUAGAGUAUGGGCGAGGUAGGUGGAAUACGUGGUGUAGGGGUAAAAUGCGUAGAGAUCAAGAAGAAUACUGAUAGCGAAGGCGACCUGCUAGAACAUGACUGACGCUGAUGCGCGAGAGCGUGGGGAGCAAACAGGAUUAGAUACCCCUGUAGUC
rnacentral:rRNA from 1 species